rnacentral:rRNA from 1 species
GAUGAACGCUGGCGGCGUGCUUAACACAUGCAAGUCGAACGGGAAACCUUUUAUUGAAGCUUCGGCAGAUUUAGAUUGUUUCUAGUGGCGGACGGGUGAGUAACGCGUGGGUAACCUGCCUUAUACAGGGGGAUAACAGUCAGAAAUGACUGCUAAUACCGCAUAAGCGCACAGAGCUGCGUGGCUCAGUGUGAAAAACUCCGGUGGUAUAAGAUGGACCCGCGUUGGAUUAGCUAGUUGGUGAGGUAACGGCCCACCAAGGCGACGAUCCAUAGCCGGCCUGAGAGGGUGAACGGCCACAUUGGGACUGAGACACGGCCCAGACUCCUACGGGAGGCAGCAGUGGGGAAUAUUGCACAAUGGGGGAAACCCUGAUGCAGCGACGCCGCGUGAAGGAAGAAGUAUCUCGGUAUGUAAACUUCUAUCAGCAGGGAAGAAAAUGACGG